rnacentral:rRNA from 1 species
GGAGAACUCUGAUGCAGCGAUGCCGCGUGAGUGAAGAAGGCCUUUGGGUUGUAAAGCUCUUUUGUAGGGGAAGAUAAUGACUGUACCCUAAGAAUAAGGUCCGGCUAACUUCGUGCCAGCAGCCGCGGUAAUAGAUA